GACGAACGCUGGCGGCGUGCUUAACACAUGCAAGUCGAGCGGUAAGGCCCUUUCGGGGGUACACGAGCGGCGAACGGGUGAGUAACACGUGGGUGACCUGCCCUCAGCUCUGGGAUAAGCCUGGGAAACUGGGUCUAAUACCGGAUAUGACUCCAUGAUGCAUGUUGUGGGGUGGAAAGCCUUGUGCGGCUGAGGAUGGGCCCGCGGCCUAUCAGCUUGUUGGUGGGGUGAUGGCCUACCAAGGCGACGACGGGUAGCCGGCCUGAGAGGGCGACCGGCCACACUGGGACUGAGACACGGCCCAGACUCCUACGGGAGGCAGCAGUGGGGAAUCUUGCGCAAUGGGCGAAAGCCUGACGCAGCGACGCCGCGUGAGGGAUGACGGCC
rnacentral:rRNA from 1 species